AGCGAACGCUGGCGGCAGGCCUAACACAUGCAAGUCGAACGAAGUCUUCGGACUUAGUGGCGGACGGGUGAGUAACACGUGGGAACGUGCCUUUAGGUUCGGUAUAACUCAGGGAAACUUGUGCUAAUACCGAAUGUGCCCUUCGGGGGAAAGAUUUAUCGCCUUUAGAGCGGCCCGCGUCUGAUUAGCUAGUUGGUGAGGUAAAGGCUCACCAAGGCUACGAUCAGUAGCUGGUCUGAGAGGAUGACCAGCCACAUUGGGACUGAGACACGGCCCAAACUCCUACGGGAGGCAGCAGUGGGGAAUCUUGCGCAAUGGGCGAAAGCCUGACGCAGCCAUGCCGCGUGGAUGAUGAAGGUCUUAGGAUCGUAAAAUCCUUUCACCGGUGAAGAUAAUGACUGUAGCCGGAGAAGAAGCCCCGGCUAACUUCGUGCCAGCCGCCGCCGUAAGAC
rnacentral:rRNA from 1 species